GACGAACGCUGGCGGCGUGCUUAACACAUGCAAGUCGAACGAGUGGCGCACGGGUGUGUAAUACGUGGGUAACCUGCCCUCUGUUGGGGAUAAGCCUCGGAAACGGGGUCUAAUACCGAAUAAAGGGGGAUGGGCACGCGACCUAUCAGCUUGGUGGUGGGGGGAUGGCCUACCAAGGCGGUGACGGGUAGCCGGCCUGAGGGGGUGACCGGCCGCGUUGAGGCGGAGAUACGGCUGAGAGUGCUACUGGCGGCAGCGGUGGGGGAAAUUGAACAAUGGGCGAAAGCCUGUUGCUGCGACGCCGCGUUGGGGAUGGAGGCGUGCGGGUUGUGUGCCUCUGACGCUAUCGAACGGGUAGGUGGAGAAGAAGCGCCGGCUAACUACGUGCCAGCAGCCGCGGUAAUUC
rnacentral:rRNA from 1 species